UACACUCUAAAAACCGUUGGGUUAUUUGUUUUACCCAAUAGGUGGGUUAAACAUAUUGGGUUGUUCUGUUGGGUUAUUCCUAGCUUGUAUUGGGUUAUUUCCAUAACAACCCAGAGAGUUGGGUUAAAAUCGGGCUCACGUCACGCAUUUUGAAUUUCAACGGUUGACCGGUGCCACUGCUGAGUGCGGACAGACACGAGAGGUACGUUUUAAAAUAUAUAUCUCUGUGUAAUGUUUUAUUUUGCUACAAAGCGUCUUUAAGCUCUAACACACAGUAAACUAUCAGUCACGUUUAAAUAAGUGUACAAAAACGCUGUUGUCUAGUUUUUGUCCGUUACACCUGUUCCAUUCAUUAACUGUUACCGAUGCCAAACGCGUUUUUAAGCCAUCAUAAACGUAGAGAGACAUCGCAAUUUAUUUUAAUACUAAACAGCACCAACAGCAUGGUCCCUUACGAAAAUGAAUCAUUUCUUCUUUUAGUAGUAUAACGUUAGUUUCAUGGCGUAUUGAUUGCCAUAUUGCUUUAACCAUGGUUUCUGUAACAGACAAUGUUUUUUGGUUUAAAGUGUAGUAAAAACCGUUUUUUAACUUUUGUAAGGGAUGCAACCGGGUGUUUUUUGCUCCAAAUAUUUUUUAGCCGGUCUGUGUUAUAGACACAGAGCUGUAAUAUAAAUGUCAUUCUGAAUGUAAAUGUCUUAAGAAAUGACUCGAUGGCAUUUUAUUGUCGUUUUACUUCAGUAUAAUCCCUGAUAAAGCGUUGCACGUCUACUACUGUUUACUGUAACCCCGGUAACGGUUGAAUUUGCAAUUCAGCGCCAUCUACUGUCAAAGUAGAGUAUUUAUUCAGUGUGCCAGAUGUGUUUGCUUUGAGAUUUAAUUAAUUAUUCUUUUCUUUAAAUGUAGACAUUCUUGGAGAUGGUGCAUUAAAAACCUUACAAAAUGGCCAGCAAGAUGAUUCAGCCUUCCUACAGUACCAAGAGGCAAAGCAAACAUUUAUUAAUUUGCAAUCUGUCAGAAAACAAACAUAAUUCAGUAUUUGGAGGAGGAGGUAUAACGAAGACCCCAUGUCCUGUCGGCAGUGGUCGAGUGGUUCAUGUAGGUUGUCUACAAAUCGGAAGGUUGGUGGUUCAAUCCCCGGCUCCACCUGACCAAGUGUCGAGGUGUCCUUGAGCAAGACACCUAACCCCAGCUGCUCCCGACGAGCUGGAUGGCGCCUUGCAUGGCUGACACCGCUGUCGGUGUAUGAAUGUGUGCGUGAAUGGGUGAAUGUGAGGCAAUAUGUAAAGCGCUUUGGAUGGCCAUUGGUCUAUGAAAGCGCUAUAUAAAUGCAGUCCAUUUCCUGCUAUGGGAUGAAUUUGACUAAUCACAAGCCUUUGUUAUCGUGGGGAGGCAUGGCCCAGGAGCAAGACCAGCAGUUGACACAUGCUUCAAUAUUUUUUUUACAUUUUAUACAGAGUAUCCCAAGCCUUUCACUACUGUUAAGUAGUUUCUGUAACACACAAUACAUUUUGUACCAUGUGAUGUUUCCUGAACACACUGUCACCUGCUUAAAGGGAUAGUUCCCCCAAAAAUGAAAAUUGUCAUAAUUUUCUUCCUCUCCUGUCGUUACAAACCUGUACACAUUUUUUUGUUCUGAUGACCACAAAGGAAGAUAUUUUGAGUAAUGUUUGAAACCAAACAGAUCAUGAGCCCCAUUGACUGUCAUAGUAGGAAAAAAGAAUACUAUGAAAAUGAAUGGGGCUCAUGAUCGGUUUGAUUUCAAACAUUCUUUGAAAUAUACCUUUGUGGUUAUCAAAGUAAAGACUUAUAUACAGGUUUAUAACAACAUGAGAGGGAGAAAAUUAUGACAAAAUGUGUGAACGCUUUUAAGCAGUUUUUAGUUGGAUAAGAUUGAGUAGAUUUGUUUUGUUCUUAUGUUUUUGUUUAUUUAUGUAUGUAUAUAUUUAUGUAUGUGUGUAUGUAUUUAUGCUUCUAUACAUGUAUGUAUUUAUACAUUUAAAUGCAGGUGCAAAUGACUAAAUGAAAAUAAAGCAUUAUAAAUGUA